rnacentral:rRNA from 1 species
GCGGGGCCCGCACAAGCGGUGGAGUAUGUGGUUUAAUUCGAUGCAACGCGAAGAACCUUACCUGGUCUUGACAUCCCGGAGACCCUUAGGAAACUAGGGGGUGCUUCCAUCUGGAAGAAUCUGGAGACAGGUGCUGCAUGGCUGUCGUCAGCUCGUGUCGUGAGAUGUUGGGUUAAGUCCCGCAACGAGCGCAACCCUUGCCUUUAGUUGCCAGCAGUUCGGCUGGGCACUCUAAAGGGACUGCCGGUGUUAAACCGGAGGAAGGUGGGGAUGACGUCAAGUCCUCAUGGCCUUUAUGACCAGGGCUACACACGUACUACAAUGGCCGAUACAAAGGGCAGCGACACUGCGAGGUGAAGCCAAUCCCGUAAAAUCGGUCUCAGUCCGGAUUGGAGUCUGCAACUCGACUCCAUGAAGUUGGAAUCGCUAGUAAUCGUGGAUCAGCAUGCCACGGUGAAUACGUUCCCGGGCCUU